rnacentral:rRNA from 1 species
CCUACGGGUGGCAGCAGUGAGGAAUAUUGGUCAAUGGGCGCGAGCCUGAACCAGCCAAGUAGCGUGAAGGAUGACUGCCCUACGGGUUGUAACCUUCUUUUAUAAAGGAAUACAGUGAGGCACGUGUGCCUUUUUGUAUGUACUUUAUGAAUAAGGAUCGGCUAACUCCGUGCCAGCAGCCGCGGUAAUACGGAGGAUCCGAGCGUUAUCCGGAUUUAUUGGGUUUAAAGGGAGCGUAGGUGGAUUGUUCAGUCAGUUGUGAAAGUUUGCGGCUCAACCGGAAAAUUGCAGUUGAAACUGGCAGUCUUGAGUACAGUAGAGGUGGGCGGAAUUCGUGGUGUAGCGGUGAAAGGCUUAGAUAUCACGAAGAACUCCGAUUGCGAAGGCAGCUCACUGGACUGCAACUGACACUGAGGCUCGAAAGUGUGGGUAUCAAACAGGAUUAGAUACCCUAGUAGUC